GAGUAAAUAUUAAUAGCAAGAUAUAAGAGAAGUCCUAGUGAAAACGACUUAGUUAUAAAAUAGCUAUGGUGUAAGUUAUUAAUAUUUGACCCGAAACCUUAAGAUUUAGCCAUGGUCAGAUUAUAAGGAUCGAACAGAUGAGUGUUGCAAAACUCUCUGAUGAACUGUGGCUGGCUAAGUGAAAGACAAAUCUGUUGAGGAUA
rnacentral:rRNA from 1 species